rnacentral:rRNA from 1 species
CAUGCAUGUCUAAGUACAAACUAAAUUAACAGUGAAACCGCAAAAGGCUCAUUAUAUCAGUUAUGGUUUAUUAGAUUAUUAACAGUUACUUGGAUAACUGUGGUAAUUCUAGAGCUAAUACAUGCAAUAUAAACAUGGACCUUAUGGAACAUGUGCUCUUAUUAGGUUAAAACCAAGCGAUUUUUUUUAAAAAUCGUUAUAAUGGUUGAACUCUAGAUAAUUUGCCAAUCGUAUGGUCUUGUACCGACGAUAAAUCUUUUAAAUGUCUGCCCUAUCAACUAUUGAUGGUAGUAUCUAGGACUACCAUGGUUGCAACGGGUAACGGGGAAUCAGGGUUCGAUUCCGGAGAGGGAGCCUGAGAAACAGCUACCACAUCUAAGGAAGGCA